GACGAACGCUGGCGGCGUGCCUAAUACAUGCAAGUCGAGCGAAGCGGCGGAUUGGUGAGUAACGCGUGGUUAACCUGCCUUUAAGUCUGGGAUACCAUUUGGAAACAGAUUCUAAUUCCGUAUACUAAAGGAUGGACCUGCGUUGCAUUAGCCAGUUGGUAAGGUACCGGCUUACCAAGGCGAUGAUGCAUAGCCGAGUGGAGAGGCUGAUCGGCCACAUUGGGACUGAGACACGGCCCAAACUCCUACGGGAGGCAGCAGUAGGGAAUCUUCCACAAUGGACGAAAGUCUGAUGGAGCAACGCCGCGUGAGUGAAGAAGGUUUUCGGAUCGUAAAGCUCUGUUGUUGGUGAAGCGGUAAUCAACCAGAAAGUCACGGCUAACUACGUGCCAGCAGCCGCGGUAAUUC
rnacentral:rRNA from 1 species